rnacentral:misc_RNA from 1 species
AAGACUAUAGACCUGCGGAGUACCUGCGGAAGGAUCAUUUGUGAACACUUGCAUUCAUUCCUUCACAGGAUGAAUCAAUCUCUAAACCUUGUGGGCAGAUGGCUUGUGGUUUGGCGACCCUCUGGGCCGCCACCUUCAUGCUGGAAGCUUGGUUGUCUGAAUCUGAAUUUUAAAGUCAAAACUUUCAACAACGGAUCUCU